UUCAAAGGCUCUCGCCCAUUGGGAAUUACAUGGAAAGGGGAUUGAGAACAACGGCCAAGAGAGGCAGGGGGUGGGGUGGAGUGGGGGGAGGGGCUGGGAAGGGAUGUGGGG